UAAGUGGUGGAAGAAGAAGAGGUUUUCUAGGAGAAACUCAGAGCACCUGUUUUAGAUUUGUAUUUUCAAUUGCCUUUGGGAGUCCCCCUCUUUUUUUCAGGGGAAAGAGAGCAAGCCUUGUUUCCUGUAGAGCAUCAUGGCUGGAGGUUGGGAGGUGUAAGCUGCAGAGCUGGGGCUGUGGAUUGGUGUCAGUGUCACAAGUGCUUCCAGGUAACGCUGAGUCUCAGCAACUUCGUGAGAGCUGGAUGUGAUGGGCUUGUGCCACUGCAAAAGGAUUCUCACAAAAAGCUCAGGAAGUGUUAUGCUUAAAAACGAAUACAAAACUCAUUGCAGAACCCGUUGAAGCUUUUAUGGGCUGUAGGCUGUCAGCAUUUCCAUCGUGGUUCCCUGCAUGCAGAAGUUGACAAGUUAGCCAUAAAUAAUCACUGCUGGUUGGAAAUUGGGAAAACUCCUUUCCUGGGAGUUACAGAUGUGGUCCCUGCCCAGGCAGUAUAUCUCAGUGAUACAGAGACAGACCGAGAUUGUUUCCCAUUUCCCAUCAACAGCCAAGGGAUGUGGCAAAGGAAUAUUACAGGGCCCUGAGCCAGGAAGAGCUUGUCUGUAUGAAAUUACAGGAACAAAAAAGCGUUGCUCUGGGUAGAUGUCACCGGUAUUUACACUUUCUCUGCAAGGGACAAAUGUCAUGGAAACAGCCCCGGAGAAGAGCAGCUUAAUUCAGGGUGGUGUUAGUAAAAGAAGCGCAAGAAACUUGAAGUUGACCUUUUGAUCUUCCAGCCA